AGAUUGAACGCUGGCGGCAUGCCUUACACAUGCAAGUCGAACGGCAGCAUGACGUGUAGCAAUACACGUUGAUGGCGAGUGGCGAACGGGUGAGUAAUAUAUCGGAACGUGUCCCGUAGCGGGGGAUAACCUAUCGAAAGAUGGACUAAUACCGCAUACGCUCUACGGAGGAAAGCGGGGGGUCGCAAGACCUCGCACUAUGGGAGCCGGCCGAUAUCGGAUUAGCUAGGUUGGCGGGGUAAAAGCCCACCAAGGCGACGAUCCGUAGCUGGUCUGAGAGGAUGAUCAGCCACACUGGAACUGGAGACACGGGUACCAGACCUCCGUACGGGAGCAGCAGGUGGGGUAAUUUUGGACAAGUGGGGCGCAAGCCUAGAUCCGAGCCAUCGCCGUCGUGAGUGAAGAACGGCCGUUCGGGUAGUUAACGCUUCGUUCGGACCGAAGG
rnacentral:rRNA from 1 species